rnacentral:rRNA from 1 species
UUCUGGUUGAUCCUGCCAGUAGUCAUAUGCUUGUCUCAAAGAUUAAGCCAUGCAUGUCUAAGUAUAAGCAAUUAUACCGUGAAACUGCGAAUGGCUCAUUAAGUCAGUUAUCGUUUAUUUGAUAGUACCUUACUACUUGGAUAACCGUGGUAAUUCUAGAGCUAAUACAUGCUUAAAACCCCAACUUCGGAAGGGGUGUAUUUAUUAGAUAAAAAACCAAUGCCCUUUGGGGCUCUUUGGUGAUUCAUAAUAACUUAACGGAUCGCAUGGCCUUGCGCCGGCGACGGUUCAUUCAAAUUUCUGCCCUAUCAACUUUCGAUGGUAAGGUAUUGGCUUACCAUGGUUUCAACGGGUAACGGGGAAUUAGGGUUCGAUUCCGGAGAGGGAGCCUGAGAAACGGCUACCACAUCCAAGGAAGGCAGCAGGCGCGCAAAUUACCCAAUCCCGACACGGGGAGAUAGUGACAAUAAAUACUGAUACAGGGCUCUUUUGGGUCUUGUAAUCGGAAUGAGUACAAUUUAAACCCCUUAACGAGGAACAAUUGGAGGGCA